rnacentral:misc_RNA from 1 species
AAGAACCUUGUCCAAUUCUUGAAGCAGCUUCACUUGAUUUUCCCCUUGCUGGUGACAGCAAUUUGUAUUGAACUAAAUGACCACAAGGAGUGUAGACCAAUAGGUGCUCCAAAGCAUUAACAUUUUUCAAAAGAGAAGGUUGCAAAUCUCGAGGCACACAGCUAUGAAAAACAGCAGCAAUAGCACCAGAUGGAACUGAGGCCUUUCCUGCUGCAGAAGAUGCAGCAUUACUAACUGUGUUAAGCCAGCCAGUGUUAUUAUUUCUUAUUCUGCUCACCACAGACAGGGUAACAGGUGAUGGUGGUGAUGCAGGAAAAGAUUGCUGGUUUACCAUGGAAGGAGUAGACCACCAUGGCAAAGAUAAAACUGUUGAAAGGCUAGGCCCAUCAACAAGUGGAUUGUGAAUUUGAAGAACAUUCUCACCACCAAAAGGAGAAAGCAUGAAAAUAUGGCAAGUACCCCUGGAUGAAACAAUGGCAAUCCACUGACUACAGUGACUAAAGCAAAUGUCUUGUAUCACCUGUAUAAUAAGCACAAAGAGAAAAUCUCUGUGAACAUACAAAAAAAUAACAAUGUUUAAAAGACAGAUGAAGCCAUAACAUACAGCUGAUGUAAUGCCACGAUGGAGCUUAUAAAGGUGCACAUGAGAAGAGCUCCAUUCAUAGCUCUUAUUGCCUGAUGCACUGUGAGAGGAGGGCAUAAUCCGAAAAAUAUUUAUGUUAUUCCCAUGAAUUGAGGCAGUAACCAAAAGUGUACCACUUGGAUCAAAACAAAGAGCAGAAAUUGGACUCGUAUGAGCUCUAAAUUGUGAUAGCACAGCUCCCGAAACAAUAUCUUUAACAACCACCUGCAAUACACCACUUUCAUAAGAAAAAUUCUUACAUAUGGUUGAUUUCAAAGUACUAACAGGACAUACAUUAAAUAGUAUAAUUAGAAAUCUGACACAUCCCUAUAGUACUUGGUAUAUCUCAAAAUUGUAGAGCCCUAUUCAAAAUCUCAGAAGAUCCUUUUCCAGGGAAACUUAAAUGCAUGAUCCCAUAGACAAAAUGGAAUAUACAAGUCAAAGAAAUUAAAAUUCAUUUCCAAGUUGCAUGAUAUUUUGCUUCAUUUAAAAUUUCAGUUCUCUGCUUGUUGUAAACUAACCAAUCCAGCAUUAUCUGUUUCUGCAGAAUGUGUUGCACCCCGACCAACUUUCCAACUUGAAUUUGAAUAUACAGGAGAGUUAGAACCAUCGGGGAUAAGAUCUUGACAAUAUCUAGACACAGUCUUGUAGCCCAUGUCUCCCAAAUUUAUUAACCCGCUAGCUAUUUGCUUACUAGAUUCCAUUGCAUAACGGGCCAUCAAACUCCCACUGCCUGGGGAAGUCGAUGGACUGACAACCAGUGGAGGAGUAAGACUUUGUGGACUUAAGCGGCCUGUGUUUGACACCAGUGGAUUGUCAGAAGCAUAAGCUAACCACCUGGGACCCACAGCCAUUGGACCAUAUCCAAUAUUAACUCCAUUCAUUCCUUGGCCUCCCAACUGAGGGACAGGAUAAGUGAGGACACUGAAUUUGUUCUCCAGAGUCAAAGCAUCAAAACAGUAUAUCUGCCAACAUAAUAUAACGAGGCAUUAGCCAUGAUUAAAUUAUUUAGGUUCAAAUGUUAAUUUAGUCAGAUUUAUUAAACUAACAUAAUCUUCAAUUUAGACAGAUAAAAAAACUUCCAGCAACCAACUUCUCAAUCAAAUAGCAUCACUCCCGCAAUUAGUCUAAUCUCACUCUUCUUGCUUUCAAAACAAAUGGUGUACAUUCCACAUACACUAGCCUUUACUUGUGGAAAUUUUAACACAAGUGUAUCCUUACUUGUGUUGCUAGGCCUACGGCCACUAUAUGUAGACUGCAUCUAACCAUAAACACAGUUGAACGAAAUCUCAGAUAAUGAACAUAAUUAUGAGAUCGUAGUGAGUAAAACUGCACAGUAGUAGCAGAUAUGGAAAGGUUUCCCACUUGAGGCUCAUUAUAGCCAUCUCUGACUAAACCAUCUCUCCCACCAAACACUGGACCUGAGCUCUUUAAUUCAGCACAUGAAACAACUAAGAGCAAAGGAUGUGAUGCUCUGAAUCCUUCACGGCCCUCAGAUUUGGCAGGGAGGGGCUGCAUCUGUAAAAAUGUAACUGGAUUAUCGCGCUUUGAAACAAGUUCAAUGACAUCAGAGGCAUCUUCAACAUCAAUGACUUGAAAGCCAUUGGAGUACCCAAGUAAUAGAACAUGUUUGAAGGAAGAUGGUCCAAGCUCUAGUUGGUCAAAGGAAGCCCAAAGUACCUGGUCUUUGUGGUCUUGAUUAUCACCGGAGAUAGAAGCGGCAACGGAAGCGCUGGCGGUGCGGACACCGGAAGACGCAGUUUUAAUGCAAGAAGAAAUGAAUUUCAAAGAAUUUGGGAGAAAGCGAUUGUUGUUGGACUUGGUACUAUUAUUUGCCUUGCUGUUAUUCUUCAUAAUAAAUCCAAAAAUGUUAAGCCAAAAUUCACCGGCGACCGGGAAGUUAACGGGAAACAGGAAGUGUCGCCAGUGCGGUCAGAAAUAGCAUAAAGAGUAGAGUGCCGACGAGAGAAAUUAAAUAAGCUCCGGCGAGAAACUGGAUUGGAUGGUGUUUUGGUGUGGUGGUUUUGCCCUUCUCCAGAAAACAAAGAGAGAGAAAAGACGGUUCUUUGCUUUUGUAUUGUGUGUUUUCCUGUUGAUGGAAAUUUGUGUUUAUUUAAAAAAAAUAAAAAUAAAAAGGAAAAAGAAAAAUUUCAGAACAAACACUCACACACUGCGGCAAGUGCUUGGAU